GUAAACAUUAGCAUUAACAAACGCCCAGUGAAUAUCUUAUCUUCGGUGGCUGCUAAAAAGCGAUAAAUAUUUUUGUGGUUGUCUGUUACCGUAAUUCAAAUCACACAAAUUUAGCAUCGGCCCAAGCCAUGGUGCCCAAGCUCACCCCCAAGCUCACCACGGCACGGAUUUGCUGAGGCCCUUUUGUUGGCAAGUUACCGUGAAUCCAUGGUAGCCGUAUUGAAUCAAAUCCCCCAAACGUUCAUCCCUCAGAUGCAUGCCUAGAUGAAAUAUUAGCUGGAUCAAUGCGUGUGUCGUUCUAUGGAUUUCUGAUGGCCCUCGCUAAGUCACAGCAAGUUAAUAAUGAAAUAUCUAUCUUGCCAGCACGUGCUAACAUUACGGAUGAUUCCGCCUUCGACGUUGAUCAAGCCAAGCGGUAGAUUCAAAUAAAUAUGCACUGUAUAUAUGUUCAAAGAAAUGUUAAUUAUUUUUUUCAAAAGUUUGGAUGUUUAGAGGUGUACAGAAAUAAUAUUGUUGGAUAUAUUUGCCUAUAAUGUAGAUUUCUUCACAAUAUAUAAAAGUUUGUGAUUUUUUGAUAUACAGUAUUGAUGUUAUGUGCUCACUAUGGGCCUGUUUUGUACAGUGGUGUAAUGCAUAAUGGGCUCUUGAGGGUGGGGGGAAAGCCCUAGCUUCAUCAUUCCAAAGGAGCCAGGAGUGUAUGAAAAUAAAGUUGACUAUGGUUUAGU